CCUACGGGUGGCUGCAGUGGGGAAUAUUGGACAAUGGGGGGAACCCUGAUCCAGCCAUGCCGCGUGUGUGAAGAAGGCCCUCGGGUUGUAAAGCACUUUCAGUGAGGAAGAACGCCUGGUGGUUAAUACCCAUCAGGAAAGACAUCACUCACAGAAGAAGCACCGGCUAACUCCGUGCCAGCAGCCGCGGUAAUACGGAGGGUGCGAGCGUUAAUCGGAAUUACUGGGCGUAAAGCGCGCGUAGGUGGCUUGAUAAGCCGGUUGUGAAAGCCCCGGGCUCAACCUGGGAACGGCAUCCGGAACUGUCAAGCUAGAGUGCAGGAGAGGAAGGUAGAAUUCCCGGUGUAGCGGUGAAAUGCGUAGAGAUCGGGAGGAGUACCAGUGGCGAAGGCGGCCUUCUGGACUGACACUGACACUGAGGUGCGAAAGCGUGGGUAGCAAACAGGAUUAGAUACCCCGGUAGUC
rnacentral:rRNA from 1 species